rnacentral:rRNA from 1 species
GACAGAGGGUGCGAACGUUGCUCGGAAUUAUUGGGCGUAAAGAGCUCGUAGGCGGCCUGUUACGUCUGCUGUGAAAUCCCGAGGCUCAACCUCGGGUCUGCAGUCGAUACGAGCAAACUAGAGUGUUGCAGGGGAGACUGGAAUUCCUGGUGUAGCGGUGAAAUGCGCAGAUAUCAGGAGGAACACCGGUGGCGAAGGCGGGUCUCUGGGCAACAACUGACGCUGAGGAGCGAAAGCGUGGGGAGCGAACAGG